rnacentral:rRNA from 1 species
CCUACGGGAGACAGCAGUGAGGAAUAUUGGUCAAUGGGCGCGAGCCUGAACCAGCCAAGUAGCGUGAAGGAUGACUGCCCUACGGGUUGUAAACUUCUUUUAUAAAGGAAUAAAGUGAGGCACGUGUGCCUUUUUGUAUGUACUUUAUGAAUAAGGAUCGGCUAACUCCGUGCCAGCAGCCGCGGUAAUACGGAGGAUCCGAGCGUUAUCCGGAUUUAUUGGGUUUAAAGGGAGCGUAGAUGGGUUGUUAAGUCAGUUGUGAAAGUUUGCGGCUCAACCGUAAAAUUGCAAUUGAUACUGGCAGCCUUGAGUACAGUUGAGGUAGGCGGAAUUCGUGGUGUAGCGGUGAAAUGCUUAGAUAUCACGAAGAACUCCGAUUGCGAAGGCAGCCUACUAGACUGCAACUGACACUGAUGCUCGAAAGUGUGGGUAGCAAACAGGAUUAGAUACCCCAGUAGUC